rnacentral:rRNA from 1 species
CUUUAGUUUGACCCCCCGAAACCAGGUGAGCUACCCCGAGACAGCCUAAAUAACUUAGGGCUAACCCGUCUCUGUGGCAAAAGAGUGGGAGGAGCUCCGGGUAGAAGUGACAGACCUACCGAACCUGGUGAUAGCUGGUUGCCUGAGAAGUGGAUAGAAGUUCAGCCCCAUGCACCCCGAACCAAGGACAUUCUACCUUAAGGUUUUAGGGAUAAACACGGGAGUUAGUUAAAGGGGGUACAGCCCCUAUAACAAAGGACACAACCUUCACAGGAGAAUAAAGAUCACAAUGUACAAGACACCCUGUUCUAGUGGGCCUAAAAGCAGCCACCUAAGCAGAAAGCGUUAAAGCUCAGACAGAAGAAAGUUUAUUAUACUGAUAAAAAAUCUUACUUCCCUAACAAUAUCAGGCUAAUCCAUGCCAACAUGGAAGAAAUUAUGCUAAAAUGAGUAACAAGAAGACCCGCUCUUCUCCAAGCACAAGUGUAAACCAGAUCGGACAAACCACCGGAAAUUAACGAACCCAAACAAAGAGGGCAGUGUGAACAACAAAGAAAUCAGGAAAAUCCCACAACUAGGCCAUCGUUAACCCCACACUGGAGUGCUAUUUAUAAAGGAAAGACUAAAAGAAAGGGAAGGAACUCGGCAAACACAAGCCUCGCCUGUUUACCAAAAACAUCGCCUCCUGCAACUAUAUUAGGUAUAGGAGGUCCAGCCUGCCCAGUGACUACGGGUUCAACGGCCGCGGUAUUUUGACCGUGCAAAGGUAGCGCAAUCACUUGUCUUUUAAAUAGAGACCUGUAUGAAUGGCUAAACGAGGGCUUAACUGUCUCCCCCUUCUGGUCAGUGAAAUUGAUCUACCCGUGCAGAAGCGGGUGUAACACCACAAGACGAGAAGACCCUUUGGAGCUUAAGGUACAAGAUUCAACCACGUCAAGCGACUUAAUAAGAAGCAGGAACUUAGUGGGAAGUGAAGCUUUACCUUCGGUUGGGGCGACCGCGGAGGAAAAACCAGCCUCCGAGUGGAAUGGGCCAAGUCCCUAAAGCUAAGAGAGACAUCUCUAAGCCACAGAACAUCUGACCAUAAAUGAUCCGGCCCAAGCAGCCGAUCAACGAACCAAGUUACCCUAGGGAUAACAGCGCAAUCCUCUCCCAGAGUCCAUAUCGACGAGGGGGUUUACGACCUCGAUGUUGGAUCAGGACAUCCUAAUGGUGCAGCCG